rnacentral:rRNA from 1 species
GACGAACGCUGGCGGCGUGCUUAACACAUGCAAGUCGAACGGAAAGGCCCUGCUUUUGUGGGGUGCUCGAGUGGCGAACGGGUGAGUAACACGUGAGUAACCUGCCCUUGACUUUGGGAUAACUUCAGGAAACUGGGGCUAAUACCGGCUAUGAGCUCCUGCUGCAUGGUGGGGGUUGGAAAGUUUCGGCGGUUGGGGAUGGACUCGCGGCUUAUCCGCUUGUUGGUGGGGUAGUGGCUUACCAAGGCUUUGACGGGUAGCCGGCCUGAGAGGGUGACCGGCCACAUUGGGACUGAGAUACGGCCCAGACUCCUACGGGAGGCAGCAGUGGGGAAUAUUGCACAGUGGGCGGAAGCCUGAUGCAGCAACGCCGCGUGCGGGAUGACAGCCUUCGGGUUGUAAACCGCUUUCGCCUGUGACGAAGCGUAAGUGACGGUAAUGGGUAAAGAAGCACCGGCUAACUACGUG